GGGAAAAAAUAUUCGGUUAAGGUGCUCAGCCCGAGGGCGCGAUUUAUCCCCAGCUCUGCGGAGCCGGUGCAGCCCCGACCCGGGGCCGGGGGGGCCCGCCGCCUCCGCAGGGCAGCCCGAAAAUCCUCCCCCCUCUCCCGCGCUGGGCCCUGUCCCCCCGCUCCGCUUUUCCACGUCUCCGCUCUCGACCCGCCACCGUCCCGGGCCCCGCGGCAGGUGCCCGGCGUCGGCGCCCCCGGGGGCAGCGCCCGUGACUUACUUGGAGCCGCGGGAGGCUCUGGCCCUUCAGCCGGGAGCGGCGGGCACGGCCGGCGCAGCGGUCCCUCCUGCUGCCGACGGGCACACGGGCUGCCUGCUGCUGCUGCUGCUGCUGCUGCGGCCGCCGCUGCUCUCCCCGCGCGCCCCCCGCUCUCCGGCUCGGGAUCUUUCCUCGCAAGACCUUUAUACGCGGGGCCGAGGGAACGCGACCGCCGCGCUGCCUCCGCAGAGCCCCGUGCGCCGAGUGCGGGAGCGGGCGGACGGCCGGCGCGCAGAGAGCGGAGCGCAGGGCAGCGCAGCGCAGCGCGGGGAGCGGAGCCGGCGGCGCGCGGCCCCUCACGCGAUCUGAUUGGGGCGCGCCGCGGACGCGGGUCACUCGCGGGGCAGCCUCGCCCCCGCCCGCGGGGGAGGAGAGCGGAGGGAGGGAGCGGAGGGGAAGGGGGCGCCGCCGCCGGGCGCGGCCCCUCGGGGGCUCCCCUGUGUCUCGGCGCCCGCCGGACGCGGGGCCUCGGCGGAGCCCGGCGGGGGACAGGGGGGUGGCGCGGCCCCCGCUGCGGCGGCGCGGGCCCGCGGCGGUGCCUAACGGACUUCCCAACGGGCGCAACGACCCCUCCUCCCGCCCGCCGCUUGCCCGGGCGCGGGAAGCGGGGGCUGGGCUCGGCCCGCCGCGGGGACGCCCAACGGCUGCCGCCCGUCUCUGAGGGGGCUCCGGGGCGGCCGCCCCACGGCUGCCCCCAGGCACCGAGGGGACUCUGGGAUGGCCACCCCAUGGCUGCCCCCAGGCGCUGA
ensembl:lncRNA